rnacentral:piRNA from 1 species
UCUAAGAGGUGGCCUGAGGAUUCGUCCC